rnacentral:rRNA from 1 species
GCAAGUCGAACGAAGUAGCAAUACUUAGUGGCAGACGGGUGAGUAACAUGUAGGUAUCUGCCCUUUGGCCUGGAAUAACACGAGGAAACUUGUGCUAAUACCGGAUAAGUCUUUACGGAGAAAGCUUUAUGCACCAUUGGAUGAGCCUGCACUUGAUUAGUUUGUUGGUGGGGUAAUGGCCUACCAAGACUGUGAUCAAUAGCUGAUUUGAGGGGAUGAUCAGCCACAUUGGGACUGAGACACGGCCCAAACUCCUACGGGAGGCAGCAGUGGGGAAUCUUGCACAAUGGAGGAAACUCUGAUGCAGCGAUGCCGCGUGAGUGAAGAAGGCCUUUGGGUUGUAAAGCUCUUUCGUCGGGGAAGAAAAUGACUGUACCCGAAUAAGAAGGUCCGGCUAACUUCGUGCCAGCAGCCGCGGUAAUACGAAGGGACCUAGCGUAGUUCGGAAUUACUGGGCUUAAAGAGUUCGUAGGUGGUUGAAAAAGUUGGUGGUGAAAUCCCAGAGCUUAACUCUGGAACUGCCAUCAAAACUUUUCAGCUAGAGUAUGAUAGAGGAAAGCAGAAUUUCUAGUGUAGAGGUGAAAUUCGUAGAUAUUAGAAAGAAUACCAAUUGCGAAGGCAGCUUUCUGGAUCAUUACUGACACUGAGGAACGAAAGCAUGGGUAGCGAAGAGGAUUAGAUACCCUCGUAGUCCAUGCCGUAAACGAUGUGUGUUAGACGUUGGAAAUUUAUUUUCAGUGUCGCAGCGAAAGCGAUAAACACACCGCCUGGGGAGUACGACCGCAAGGUUAAAACUCAAAUGAAUUGACGGGGACCCGCACAAGUAGUGGAGCAUGUGGUUUUAUUCGAAGAUACGCGCAGAACCUUACCAACACUUGACAUGUUCGU